UCUCGCUUGAGCCUGCCUGUGGGUGCUU
rnacentral:piRNA from 1 species